rnacentral:lncRNA from 1 species
GGACAACUAGGGAUUGUUGGAAGACGUCACUCAAGGAGGAUACUUAUUUGGCGAUUUCAGAUUUCAGAGAACAGUGGUUUGAAUUAUUUAACACAUUUUCCAGAGCAGAAAGAUAUUCAUUCAUUCAAUGAAAUUCAUUUCAUUGUAGCAGUACUAAGUGCUGUGACAAAAGAGCAUGAUGUCUUUACACGAGGGUCUAAGAAAGCCUAGAAAUGUGUAUACAAAAAAGGGAAAAGAAUCAAAAAUAGCAUUUCAGUAGAAGAUAAGAAAUUCGAGCAUCUCCUUCUUUCUAACUAGUACUGCUCCAAACUUAAGCAGACAGGUGCUUGUGAUGAGUACUCUGUGGUGACACGUACCACCUGAGAAUGUGGUUGCUGACAGUUGCUAGGGAGAAGCUCAUGGAAACCAACAGAACCAAGGCAAGGAAUGUGGAGCUCUGAGAUGGUGAAGAGAAUGGAUGCAGGCAAAAAGCGAUGGAGGAGAGAUCUACACAUGCAGAUGAGUAUGCUUCACCAAAGAAAACAUAUUUGCCAGAAGAUACUGUGGACAGCAAACCUCUAUUGUGGAAGAACACUAUUUCUUGAGAUAAAUGCAGUGCUUUGUGCGGAACGUUGGGGUCACUAAACUUACCUAGUUUAUUCCAUCAAAUUAAAAUAUAUCUGCAGAGUAUCCCGGCAAUUUUGGUCUCAUUUAUCAGUGUGUAUGAAUUCUUUUGCUAUAGCAUCCUGUUGGCUCUUGUGCAAUAAUGCAAUUCUUCAGCCACUGUAUUCUAGUACCAUUUUAUGUCUAAGAGGUCAG